CUGCUCGACGCCGUGCGCAAGAAGGCGUCCGACAUCCACAUCGAGCCCUACGAGAAGUCGCAGCGCGUCCGCUACCGGAUCGACGGCGUGCUCUACGAGGUGAUGAAGCCGCCGAUGCGGCUGAAGCACGCGAUCGUGAGCCGCAUGAAGAUCAUGGCGAACCUCGACAUCGCCGAGCGCCGGCUCCCGCAGGACGGGCGCAUCAAGAUCAAGAUGGGCCGCGGCAAGGAGAUGGACUUCCGUGUCUCCGUGCUCCCCGUCAUGUGGGGCGAGAAGGUCGUCCUCCGGCUCCUCGACAAGUCGAACCUCCAGCUCGACAUGACGAAGCUCGGAUUCGAUCAGGACAUCCUCAACGGCUUCAAGGAGUGCAUCCACAAGCCGUACGGAAUGAUCCUGAUCACGGGACCCACGGGAUCCGGAAAGACGACGACGCUCUACUCGACGCUCAGCGAGCUCAACAAGACGACGACGAACAUCAGCACCGCAGAGGAUCCCGUCGAGUUCAACCUCUUCGGGAUCAACCAGGUCCAGAUGCACGACGAGAUCGGGCUCAACUUCGCUUCGGCGUUGCGCUCGUUCCUCCGGCAGGACCCCGACAUCAUCAUGGUCGGCGAGAUCCGCGACUUCGAGACCGCCGAGAUCGGGAUCAAGGCGGCGCUCACCGGCCACCUCGUGCUGAGCACGCUGCACACCAACGACGCGCCGUCCACGGUGAGCCGGCUCCUCAACAUGGGCAUCGAGCCGUUCCUCGUCGCGAGCUCGGUAAACCUCGUCGGAGCGCAGCGGCUCGUCCGAAAGGUCUGUCAGGAGUGCACGGAACAGAUCACGGUCGAGCCCAAGCUGCUGACGGACCUCGGCGUCGAUCCCGCGACCACCACCGAGUACAAGCUCCAGAAGGGUCGCGGGUGCAAGAACUGUAGCAACACGGGCUACAAGGGCCGCGUCGCCGUCUACGAGAUCAUGAUCUUCAACGACGAGCUCCGCGAGUUCGUCCUGAACGGCGCCUCGACCCUCGAGCUCAAACGCGAGGCCAUCCGCCAGGGAAUGCGGUCGCUCCGCAUGGAUGCGCUCACGAAGCUGAAGAUCGGACUGACGACCAUCGAGGAGGUCGUCCGCGCCACCGCGAGCGAUUGAGUUGUAGUACGAUCCCCGGGCCGUCCCACGCAGGUCGGCCGAGGGCGUCUCCAUGGCGACAGCCGAAAAGGUCCAGCAGGCUCCGGGGGCAAAGCCGGGCGCCAUCAAGAUCCCCCUUC
rnacentral:misc_RNA from 1 species